GCAGCCAUGCCGCGUGUAUGAAGAAGGCCUUAGGGUUGUAAAGUACUUUCAGUUGGGAAGAAAGUAAUAAUGCUAAAAUCAUUGUUAUCUGACGUUACUAACAAAAGAAGCACCGGCUAACUCCGUGCCAGCAGCCGCGGUAAUACGGAGGGUGCUAGCGUUAAUCGGAAUUACUGGGCGUAAAGCGCACGCAGGUGGUAAAAUAAGUUAGAUGUGAAAUACCAAGGCUUAACCAAGGAAUUGCAUCUAAAACUGUAUUACUAGAGUUUUGUAGAGGAAAGUAGAAUUCCACGUGUAGCGGUGAAAUGCGUAGAUAUGUGGAGGAAUACCAGUGGCGAAGGCGACUUUCUGGACAAAUACUGACACUCAUGUGCGAAAGCGUGGGGAGCAAACAGGAUUAGAUACCCUGGUAGUCCAUGCCGUAAACGAUGUCGAUUUGGAGAUUGUUAUUUAAAUGGUUUCCGUAGCUAACGCGUUAAAUCGACCGCCUGGGGAGUACGACCGCAAGGUUAAAACUCAAAUGAAUUGACGGGGGCCCGCACAAGCGGUGGAGCAUGUGGUUUAAUUCGAUGCAACGCGAAGAACCUUACCUACUCUUGACAUCCAAUGGAUCUUACAGAAAUGUAGGAGUGCUUGAAAAAGUAACAUUGAGACAGGUGCUGCAUGGCUGUCGUCAGCUCGUGUUGUGAAAUGUUGGGUUAAGUCCCGCAACGAGCGCAACCCUUAUACUUUGUUACCAACGAUUAGGUCGGGGACUCAAAGAAAACUGCCAGUGAUAAACUGGAGGAAGGUAGGGAUGACGUCAAGUCAUCAUGGCCCUUACGAGUAGGGCUACACACGUGCUACAAUGGCGUAUACAAAGAGCAGCAACCUCGCGAGAGUGAGCGAAACUCAUCAAAGUACGUCUAAGUUCGGAUUGGAGUCUGCAACUCGACUCCAUGAAGUCGGAAUCGCUAGUAAUCGUAGAUCAGAAUGCUACGGUGAAUACGUUCUCGGGCCUUGUACACACCGCCCGUCACACCAUGGAAGUGAGUUGCAAAAGAAGCAAGUAGUUUAACCUAAAUGAAAAUUUAGGAGAGCACUUACCACU
rnacentral:rRNA from 1 species